CACAGGUGCUGCAUGCUGUCGUCAGCUCGUGUCGUGAGAUGUUGGGUUAAGUCCGUAACGAGCGCAACCCUUGUCCUUAGUUACCAGCACGUUAUGGUGGGCACUCUAAGGAGACUGCCGGUGACAAACCGGAGGAAGGUGGGGAUGACGUCAAGUCAUCAUGGCCCUUACGGCCUGGGCUACACACGUGCUACAAUGGUCGGUACAAAGGGUUGCCAAGCCGCGAGGUGGAGCUAAUCCCAUAAAACCGAUCGUAGUCCGGAUCGCAGUCUGCAACUCGACUGCGUGAAGUCGGAAUCGCUAGUAAUCGUGAAUCAGAAUGUCACGGUGAAUACGUUCCCGGGCCUU
rnacentral:rRNA from 1 species